AGAGCACGCAGGGUGAGCCAGCGCGACUUUUGCAGCUCAAAGCCUAGCUACAGUAAGGCUGGCAUUUUGGGGCGUUGAUUGGUUAUGUGGGGCCCGAGCUGUUUAAACGAGGUCACACCCGCCCGCUGUGUAAGCCGACACUGGCUCCUCAUGUGGCACAAUUGCAAGGUGAAGAUGUGUCUGGAUGGCGUGGGAGGUGAAUUCCAACACGCGCUCAGCGGCGCCAUUGGGCUCUGAGAAGGGCAGAAGCUGAUGCAAGGGGUGGAUUUCUUAGUGCUCCUCCUGAACUUGCAAACAUUUUUUUUUUGGGGGGGGGGCGGGGGUACCAGGAAUUGAACUCAGGGGCACUUAACCACUGAGCCACAUCCCCAGCCCUAUUAUGUAUUUUUAUUUAGAGAUGGGGUCUUGCUAAGUAGCUUCCACCCUGAUUUUAUGGAGGCUGGCUUGGAACUCACGAUCCUCCUGCCUCAGCCUCCCAAGCCACUGAGAGAACAGGAGUGCACCACCAUGCCCGGCCUUGAUUUUCAAACUUAUCAAAUUAUUUUUUCUAUACAUAUCUUGCAUUUCUCCUCAAAACUCCUGAGUGACUCAUUCAUUUAUUCAGGCAGAAUAUUUAAUUAAUUUUUUGAUAGUUUUAUAACACGUUCAACCUUGUUGCUGCUGUUCUUUGGCACUGGGGAUUGAACCGGGGGUACUUUACCACUGAGCUACAUCCUCAGCCCUUUUUAUUUUUUUAUUCUGAGACAGGAUGUUGCUAGGUUACCCAAGUCGGCCUUGAACUUGAUCCUCCUGCCUCAGCCUCCCGAGCGUCCGAGAUGACAGACCUGGCUGCUGGAUUACUCUUCGUAGGUGCUGAGCUGUGCAAAGACUUAAAGAACUGGUCUGGCCCUUGUUGUUAGGAAGCCUUCGGGUCCUUGAGACACUGGCAAAACUUUUGUUGCGAAGAAUGCAAGAAAUGACCAAGAAAGAUGGUUUUGCUAACCGUUACCUUCUAUCUGUUAGAAUGUCAUCUCUCCUCCCUUUUACACCGUGAGGAAACGGGGCAGAGGUGUUCAGUGAAGUCACUACUAUUCAGAAAACAUCUGCUGACCAAGGGCACGCCUAGGGCUCCCUGUCAGGAGGGGUAACAGGUGAUUACCAGUCCACGCUAAUAGCUCAUGCCACAGAAAUCAUCAAACAUGGCAAAACUGACGUGAGAGAAGACAGCAGAACCCCGAGACAGAACCAACACCCAACAAAACGGUCAGCGAGAGGAGUCCUCGCGUCCACAAAGGUGCACCGUGAAACCCUGUUCUAACAAGUGGACAGGCUGCCGGGUGGGAAGAACAGGGGAGGCUCCUUGGGGAGUGAGUGACCUGGGUCACUCCAUGACAUUCAGAUUGGCCACCUAGGGAGGUGGACCAGUGUGGUGCAGUCCAGAGGCGUGGACAGGGGAGAGCGAGAGAGACGACUUCUUCAAGUCCAAAGCCGUGGGGAUCCCUAAUCCUGCACCUGUAGCUUCUCACCAUGCCCAGGUGCUUGCUGGGCAGACUCCAUGGGUCCCGCAGCCCCCAGAGGGUGUGGGCCUUUCACAGUGGGGAAGCUCACUUUGGGAGGUGAUUUGCCCAGGGGAGCAGCUUCUGAAGAGGCCCCGCUUAGCAGGUCGCAUUAAGUGGAAAAUGCAAGGUGCUGUCUGCUGUGCUGGAUGCUCAUGCACAGUGGGGACAGGAAGAGAAAGACUGAUCCUGAAGCCCUCUCCAGAAAACCUGACUCCACCCAUCCACCGGGAGCGUUCCCCUGAGUGCUGGAAAACUAUUAGAUUUAAAAGUGCCACCAAAGGGACUUAAACCUCAACAAAAAUGUGGUCCAUUUGAAUUUGACAUUGGGAAAAAAAUAUUAGGGAUUCGCAUGCGCACUCACUUCUUCACUGAUAUUUUGCUUGGGUGCUACGUUGAUGCUACUGAGUUCAAUAAUUUAACAUGCCACCACCCUUCGUCCAGAGGGAAUGGUGUGACGAUAAGUGGGUGCGCAUGCAGAGGACACCUGUUGUACUUUUGACAUUGAGCAGGGUUUGCUGCCCGACAUGCACAGGAGCCCAAACCAUGGCACCAGGCUCUGCAGAGAAAGGGAUUUGCACACACUGUUGGCAAGGAGGCCAGGAGUGCUAGGCUCAUGUCCGCCUCCCCAGCCAGCCAGGCAGGAGUGAGGGAACUGAUGAUAGGAGUCGGUCUCCCUCGGGCAGCUGCAGGUCACACCCCAUCAGUCCUGCUAACCAGGCUCCGGGAGCCCCGUCAGCUACUGCCUGAGAGCACCCAGAAGCAGCCCACUCUCCUUUGCAUGGUGACCGCUGCAGCCCGCAGCCCCAUCUUCUCCACAGCAGUCUCCUAAAGGUCUUCCUGUUUCCACUUUUGUCCCAUGAAGCCCGUUGCCUCCCUGCCGAGGGCUGAUUUGUUCAUUUUUGCAGUACUGGGGGUUGACCCCAGGGGCGCGCUAGCUCUAAGCCACACCGCAAGCCCUUUCACUUUGUUUUUUCAGUUUUGAGACAGGGUCUGGCUAAGUUGCCCAAUCUGGCCUCUACCCUGCAAUCCUCUUGCCUCAACCUCCCGAGCUGAUAGAAAUGCAGGCAUGAGCCACCACACCAGGAGGAUUUUCUUAUACAGAUCAUUUUGCUUCUUACGGUGGCUUCUGAUGGCACAUAGCAUACAAGAGGACUUCCUCACCAUGUCCUCCAAGGUUUUUCAUUGUCGGGCAUCUUCUCCGCUCCCCAAAUGUGCCUCACAUCGCCGUCGUCCUCACUUAGGAGCCCCCACUGUGACUGGAGAGAGGUGGGAGGGAGGCACAGGAACUGCCACACUGGGAAAUGACAGGUGCUGUCAGCAUCAAUUGUCCCUCAGGAGGUGGAGAUCCACCCCACUCCAACACAUCCGCGUUGAGCCUGUUCCUUCUGGGAACAUUGUUACUGGGGGGUCACAAUGUCCUGGGGCAGCCACAGGCUCUGGAGAAUAUUUAACAGAAUACACCAUCCGAGGCUCAGGACAGAAGGAGGGGAGCGGCUCAGCCGGGUUUGGGCUCUGCAGCAAGUGGACUUUCAAGCUCCUGUCUGCAGGGAUCCAUGGCCAUGCUUCACACACAAACACAGCCAGGAAGAAUUCAUUCCCAGGAAAGUAGCACUCCCUGGGGCUCACAAAUGAAAACCCAGGGCUGGUCUCCCCGUCCGACCACGGAUGCAUCUUUGCAGAAGGAGAAGCUGAGCAGAGCCCUUGGGGGGGCACCAUGGGUCUGUGCACAAACUCGAUCAAUUACAGAGUCAGAACGCUCACUCCUCCCAGGAAAGACGGCCACGGGUUCCCCAAAGUGAGAACAGACGGCACGGGGACAAGACUGGAAACAGCCUUGAAGGACGAAGUCGUGACAUUGAUCAAGAGCAUGGCGGAAAGCACUCCAACAGGUUGACAGUGAGCACUCUUGUGAUUUUAAUUUUUCCUUUUUGCUUAUACACAUUAGAAGAUAUCUUUUUUUUUAUAAUGAACAUAGGUGACAUGUACUUAAAAUCAAGUUAUUUGAAAGACCGAGGAAGCUUGCCUCUGGUGACCUUAUCUUUCUGCCACGUCUCUGGAAGUGGACCAGAGGAGGCUUACAGGUCCGUUGGUAAGAUUUGAUAAAAUUCCCCAGACACUGCACAAGCGUCAGGUUACUCUUCUAGAGUUUCCAGAAGCUUCGGCCUUUUCUCCAGUGUCUUGGGUGCUUCUUGAGUAACACAGUUGGGUGGCUCCAGCCCUCUCCUUGUGUUUCAGUUGACUGAAGUGGUCUCGCCCCGGGUCCUCGGGUGUCUGUGCCAACAGCCUUGAGAUUCUUUUUUCCACCUGUCAAUCGCCUACUUUUUAAAAAGUUUCGCCUUUCGUUUACAGUUUUAUUGUCCCUUUGCCCUGCUUGAAGUGUCCGCAUCACAAGUGUGCAGAUAGAUCCAUCUGGCAAACGUGCUCACUGCUGCAGCCGGCGCCCCAGUUAAGACUUAGCUGGUGCCCCCCAAAAGCCCCAAUCAGGUGCCAACCUUCCAGCCAAUCCCAGCUUUGGGAACAGCUGCUGUGUGCAUCUCUGACUCCAGGGUCUCACUUGCCCGCUCUGACUCCACCUGAGCCACACCCUGCCGCCUGGGCUCUUCUGCCUCUGACUUGGCUCCGUCUCGCUGCUGCAGAUCCACGGUUGGUUUUAAUCGCUGAGCAGUCUGCCCUUUUACGCCUACAACACAAUUGGUUUCUCCAUUCCUCUGUUGAUGGACUUAAUGCUAUCAAAUUUUAUACGACUUUUUUCUAUUCUGAAAUAAUAUAAAAAUGAAUAGGAUUUCAUUUAUACAGGCAGACUGAUCACCUGGCUUUGCUUCAAUCAUUUUUGUUCAACAUCUUUUUCUAAUCUUUUUUAAUUUCAGUGAAAGAUACAUAACCAAAAAAUGGACUACCUUAAUUUUUAAAAAAAAUUUUUUUAGUUGUCAUUGGACCUUUAUUUUAUUUAUUUAAAUGUCGUGCUGAGGAUUGAACCCAGUGCCUCCCACGGGCUAGGUGAGCGCUGUACCACUGAGCCACAACCCCAACCCUUUAUCUUUUAUUUUUUCCCUUCGGUCCUGGGGCUGGACCCUGAAGGAGCUUGCUGUGCUCCAACCCCGAGCUACACCCUGG
rnacentral:lncRNA from 1 species